UGGAAAUUAUAGCAAACUGUACACCACUUUCCUGGCUGGUUUGUGGUACCUGAUUCCCACUGCAAUUGCAGAUUCUUUUACUGACCCCCAGACUACUGCUCAAAUAAUUUAUAUGUUCUGGUCUUUAUUUUAGCUAUCUUUUACAGUUUAUCUGGAUAAUUUUGUUGCCUGUUCUGUUUUUUUUCAGUGUACCUGUUGGCCAUCUUGAAUCAUCAAGAAAUAUCAAUAUCCAAAUCAUGAAUGAAUAACUGAUUGGAACUGGACCAGAACUUUCCUAUAAAGAGCUAAAAUGCUUUGAUAUAUAAAAGGACAAUUAUCUCUGUAAUUCUAAGUGACAGACCUGAGCUAGACAAGACUCUGUAGAAACAGUUAUUCAAUGAAUGAGGCGAUAGGACCUCAUGAACCUCAAUUCAACAUGUAUUCACUGUACUGUUGUGAUGAAAGAGACUCUCAGUUUGUAGUUACAGUUUAUUGCUACUUCAACAGCCACAUCAACAGAUGGCAGCAUCCAAGCCAGGGAACUCCACCAUUUGUCUGAGAAACACUGAACAAGGUACCUCACAGAAGCCUAUACUCUCCCAUUGACUGGAAGAUGCUGCUUUAGUGGCCUCAACAUGAUCUUGGUUUUCGUGACAGCUGGUUAAGAGAUCUGUGAUCUUGACUGAGCUCGGAAGCUACAGGCUGCCACAGGCUGCAGUUCCCCCACAUCCCUACUAAAGACAUUACAGGAUGCAUACCACAGAUCCCCUGCCUCCAGCCCUCAAGGGUCACGCCUGCUGCAGCACAGUCUCUGGAGUAA